rnacentral:rRNA from 1 species
AGUGAACGCUGGCGGUAGGCCUAACACAUGCAAGUCGAACGGCAGCACAGUAAGAGCUUGCUCUUACGGGUGGCGAGUGGCGGACGGGAGAGGAAUACAUCGGAAUCUACUUUUUCGGGGGGGAUAACGUAGGGAAACUUACUCUAAUACCGCAUACGACCUACGGGUGAAAGCAGGGGAUCUUCGGACCUUGCGGGAUUGAAUGAGCCGAUGUCGGGUUAGCUAGUUGGGGGGGUAAAGACCCACCAAGGGGACGAUCGGUAGCUGGUCUGAGAGGAUGGUCGGCCACCCUGGAACUGAGACACGGACCAGACUCCUGCGGGAGGCAGCAGUGGGGAAUAUUGGACAAUGGGCGCAAGCCUGAUCCAGCCAUACCGCGUGGGUGAAGAAGGCCUUCGGGUUGUAAAGCCCUUUUGUUGGGAAAGAAAAGCAGCAGGUUAAUACCCCGCUGUUCUGACGGUACCCAAAGAAUAAGCACCGGCUAACUUCGUG